rnacentral:lncRNA from 1 species
UCUGUUGAGACUUGAGGAAAGGGUAUGAACCCAAACUUAUUUACGCUCGAUCCAACUGCCAUAAUUUUUUAGCAAAAUAUUUUUUUUUCAAGAAUACACAUGGAAGCUGCGUAAAUAAAUAUUUGUGAAUUACAAUGCGGGUCUAUCGGGUGCACGCACACCAUUCCGUUUAAAAAAAACGAUUAUACGGCGAGCUAAAACAACCUAAGAAGCAGGAGGAGGAGCAAAACUAGGUGAACUGCAGACUACUCCUUGCACUUUGCGCCGCCGGCCAGCCCAACCCGGCCUGAUGUUUGGCCCCUGCCUUGAUCCAUGCUUGUCCUUCCUCGAGGAUUGCUUCCACUAGGCGAGUGGUCGUAGAAGAAGGGUCGUUGAAGACCUAGCUGUUACGCUCCUUCUAGAUCAUCCAUGAAGUUAACAUGACCACCGAAUCCAUAUCUGGAGCUUGUUCGAGCCUUGGCGCAAUUGCAACCACCAGUGUAGUAGUUCCAAAUCUGUCGAUGGCAUGAGAUAACUGCAAUCCAUCAGAGUGAGAACAGCAAGAUAUCUGAACUAAAACUUAUGGUACAGACCGCCGGGGCCUGGCCCUCCUUCCAACUUCAAAGCCUUGGCAAUCUCCCACCAAACCUCCUCAACUCCAAAAAUCUCGUCCCACCAAACCUCCUCAACUCCGCCGCCGCUCUGCUCCUUCCAACUUCAAAGCCUUGGCAAUCUCCGCGCCGCAAACCCUAGCCGCCGCCAUGGCCUUCCUCGCUCCCGCCUCCCUCCGCGCCCCCAUCUACGUAGUCGCCGCCGCCUCCGGACGCCGCUCCGUGCUCCCCGCGGCCGUCAAAGCCACGGCCAGCUCCGGCUCCGCCACCUCUCCGCACCCCAUCCUCUCCUCCCUCCGCAUGGCCGCCUCCGCUGCCGUCCUCCUCGCCGCCACCUCCCCGGCCCUCGCGUGCACCCCCUCCGCGCCUCCGCCCCCGCCCGCUCCCCUAACGGCCGCGGUCCACCCCGACGACCCCAUCCAGGACGCCUCCCACCCGUUCGAGAAGCUCAUCGUCGAGUCCGCCGCGCUCGCGCGCGCCGGCAGAGCGGAGGCUGCGCGCGCCCGCCUGUCUGCCGCAGAGGGAUGCGAGAGCUAUGCGCGCCUCCUCGCGGCGCAGGCGCUGUUCGUGGAGGGAAAGGUGGACGAGGCGAUCGCCGCCUUCGAGGAGCUCGCGCGGGAG